GAAAUGCGAUACGUAAUGUGAAUUGCAGAAUUCCGUGAACCAUCGAAUCUUUGAACGCACAUUGCGCUCGACCCUUCGUGGGAGAGCACAUCUGCCUGAGCGACGGUUUUCCCCUCAAUCACCCUUCUCCUAGCGGGGAUCGGCCGAUUGGACCUGGCUCUCCGAGCCGCUCCGCUUCGGCGGCUGCGGCUUGGUCGGCUGAAGCGCAGACGGCUUGAGCAAGGACCCUCCGCUAAGGGGCACGGCAAGGUAGAGAGCAUCGGGCUUCGGCUCGUUCCUCCCUUACCGCCGAUCACUGCCCUGGAGGCGUCGCUAACUUGUCUCUUGCCUUUGCAGGAAAACACCUUUCAUUUUCGUCCUCAGUUCAGGUGAGAUUACCCGCUGAACUUAA
rnacentral:misc_RNA from 1 species